GUCAAACAUUGAUUGCAGGUUUUGCUCUUCUGAGAUAUGAAGAGACCAGGUGAUCAUUCCUACCAGGGAGAAGUGAGGCUCAGUGGCGUGGCUGUCCCGGGCAAGGAGGGGGAAAAAAAAUACAGCAAACAAAAAAAGCCACUUCAAAUAGUUCAGCCAGUAGCAAAUCUGAAUCAAGUCUGCAGACAUGGAGAUGAGAGAAAUGCAGCUGAUUUGAACGUUGAGGGCGUGAAAACUUCAGGAAGUUGCUAGAAGAUCUGGGAUAUCUACAGAAAGGAAACAAGCAUAACUCCUCACUGCUGCCAAGAGGAGAAGAGUUACAGAUGCUCAGGAUUUGAAUACGGAGGAAUAGGAAUGGAGCUGAACAGAUCCAACACCUGAAAGGACGAUUGGAUCUCAAAAUAUGAAACCAGGAAAAAGACCCUACAUUCAAUAAAGCAACAGGAUUGGCUAAGGAGAGGUAAGCAGCAUUUGGUGUCUAACAAGUGACCAUAGCAAUUUUGUAGCGCUGAUUGUAACUUAUGUUGUGCCAAAGGUUUGUUACAGCUGAUCACGCAUCUCAGGAGCUAAGAGGAUGUGAGGGGGAUGGCAGAUGUCAGGGGAUUCAUCUUUAUUAGGAGAUGGUGAACCUGCUUGUCACAUAAUGUUCAAAAGUUGCUGCUGGGAUGGAAGCAAAGAAGAAAGCCCUGGAGAUGGGUUAGUGCUGGGACACAGACACUAUCCUGGAGGGGCCUGGGGUAUGUAACCAUAGCAACCGGUCCUUUCCCCACUGUGGUCCUGGCUCACAUGCACAGGGUGAAACCGAUCGCCAUGUUUGGGGUCAGGAAGGAAUUUUCCUCCAGGGCAGAUUGGCCAGAGCCUUGGAGGUUUUUCGC